UGUGUAUUACAGCACACAUUAUCUUGACGUUACACGUAAAAUCCACGAACUAACUUGAUAAUUUUAUUACGGUAUUGUACGCGCCAUAUAAUUUAUUGCCACCGGUUGUUGAUGCGUUACAAAACCAGAUUACGCGCUGAUGCAACCUCCCGCUUUAAAAGGUUGUAGAAUUCUUACUAAUAUUUAAAACGCGAAAGUGAGUUUUUAUUAUAUUUUUGUUAUUCUUUCAUGUUUUUACUACACAACCGAUCAUCGUGACUUUUGCAUACAUAUCGUCAGGCGUACAGAAAAGGAUACGGGUUCCUAACACCCGUCUCCCUCACACGCAGGCGAAAACUAUAUAUGAGUAUCGAGAUGCGUAGCGGAAUCUUCAGCGGCACCGAGGUCUCGUGCUCCUCCUACACGUACUCGUGCAAGGAACGAUGCCAGCUCCAGCGCCUCGGCGACCAGCGCCCUACACACCGCGCGGUAGUGCGCCGCAGCCGUCUCCCGCGCGAUGCGACCGCUUCCACCCCCGCAAUGCCAAACACAUCGCUGCGGAAAUAAACAUUUCAAUUGUUUAAUAAAACAUAUUUGCGUAUUUAUAACAAAUAUAUUUGCGUGCCUAUCGUGGACGAAAUGUAUUAGACACUGUAGAAUCUGUAAAACUAUGUUUCAUGCAAAUAAAUGAUUAUUAUUAUUA